rnacentral:rRNA from 1 species
UACAGAGGGGGCAAGCGUUAUUCGGAAUUACUGGGCGUAAAGCGCGCGUAGGCGGCUUUGUAAGUUAGAGGUGAAAGCCCGGGGCCCAACCCCGGAACAGCCUUUAAGACUGCAUCGCUAGAAUCCGGGAGAGGUGAGUGGAAUUCCGAGUGUAGAGGUGAAAUUCGUAGAUAUUCGGAAGAACACCAGUGGCGAAGGCGGCUCACUGGACCGGCAUUGACGCUGAGGUGCGAAAGCGUGGGGAGCAAACAGG